GACGAACGCUGGCGGCGUGCUUAACACAUGCAAGUCGAACGGAAAGGCCCUGCUUUUGUGGGGUGCUCGAGUGGCGAACGGGUGAGUAACACGUGAGUAACCUGCCCUUGACUUUUGGAUAACUUCAGGAAACUGGGGCUAAUACCGGAUAGGAGCUCCUGCUGCAUGGUGGGGGUUGGAAAGUUUCGGCGGGUGGGGAUGGACUCGCGGCUUAUCAGCUUGUUGGUGGGGUAGUGGCUUACCAAGGCUUUGACGGGUAGCCGGCCUGAGAGGGUGACCGGCCACAUUGGGACUGAGAUACGGCCCAGACUCCUACGGGAGGCAGCAGUGGGGAAUAUUGCACAAUGGGCGGAAGCCUGAUGCAGCAACGCCGCGUGCGGGAUGACGGCCUUCGGGUUGUAAACCGCUUUCGCCUGUGGCGAAGCGUGAGUGACGGUAAUGGGUAAAGAAGCACCGGCUAACUACGUG
rnacentral:rRNA from 1 species